AACGCACAUUGCGCCCUUUGGUAUUCCUUAGGGCAUGCCUGUUCGAGCGUCAUUUAAUCCCUCAAGCAGUGCUUGGUGUUGGGCGCUUGUCCCGCCUACGGCGUGGACUCGCCUUGAAAUCAUUGGCGGCCUGUGUAUUGGCUUCGAGCGCAGCAGAUUCGCGUCUCGCAUCCGGCACGCAGGCGUCCAGUAAGCCUCACCCAAUGUUGACCUCGGAUCAGGUAGGGAUACCCGCUGAACUUAA
rnacentral:misc_RNA from 1 species